GAAUUGGGGACGGGGAUGCCCGGCCUCAUCCUGGGAGCGAAGGAGCCAUAUGUAAGCACCAGCCACUCCAUCAAGGGCAUGCUUAACACUUCAGGGAUCUCCUACCUUUCCUAUUUUUUUAGCUGCUUGAGAUAAAAGGCCUUGUGAAAAGGCCCAGGCUGCUGCAUCCUCACAUUCUCCCUUUAAUUCUCCUGGAAACUUCUAAGAAAAGCCGUCAGGUGGAAAUGAACAGUAACUGGCAACUCGAGACCCGGCGUCUGAGACUAAGAAAAUGAGAUAAGGAAUGUCUAAAGGAACAUUUCUACAAUGACAGCAUUAAACAAAACAUGGGAAUGCCAUGAUCCAGCCUGCACCCACCGAUGCGUUUUCUUGGACAACACCAAGUCCAGGAAGGGAGCACAGCACAGAGGCAGUAGGAACAGGUGUGGAAUUAUUCAACAUCUCUGGCAAACAGCAGUGGGGAUUAAACAGAGAUUUCUUUAAUGAGAUUAAUUCUGAAAUACGAAGAGCAGUUUGGCAUGUUCCCAAAGAUACAAGGCAUUUGUAUCUAUCUAAGAUUAAAGGAGCUUUCACACAAAGCGAUUUUACUUUUUCAACAUCAAAGAGGAUUCUUGGAGGGGCUGCUUGAAGCAGACACACUGUAACAAAUGUGGGGAGUGCCAAAGCUUCUUUAUAUAAAAGACAGUUUGCUCAGCCAGGGAUUGUGUCUGUGGUUUUCACUAUCCAGGAUAUACAGAACACUGUUCUUCCAAUCACAGGAUUAUGGAGAAAGGGAGACCAGGGGUUAGGAAUCAGGUUGACAAACAUCCCAGACAGGUGGCUACCCAAUGAUAACCUUGGAUUUCCUGGGAUGGGGGCUCAGUGCUUCCUGAGGCUGACUGUUGGACAGUUCUUAUAAAUAUUAUAAAUAAUGGCGAUGAUGCUGGUAAUAACGAUAAGAAGGAUCACAGACACUAUUUCUACAUGCGAGGCACUGUAUUUAGCACGUAAGAAAUUACACAGACUUCUGCUAAAUCUUCCUCCCUUGGGCUUUCAACCAGCCUUUCCAGGUCUGCUCUCUGGAGCUGCUCACAAUAGAUUUGCUCCAUUGCGAGCUACAAAUAUUUGAAGGUAGCUUUUAUAUUCUGUAUAUUUGAAGGUAGCUUUUAUAUUCUGUACCGUGUGUGUGUGUGUGUGUGUGUGUGUGUGUGUGUGUGUGUAUUUUGUUUUGUUUUGCUAAACGUAAGUUCAUUUAUGUGGAUCCAUAUUAAAUUCCAUCUUGCUGGCUUUGCCUCACCCUUCCAGGCUGCUCAAAUUUUAUGGAUCUGAUUCUAUCAUUCAGUGUAUUAACCAGACCUUAGAAAGUGUGCUACUAAAAUGAUAAGCUUCCAAGUCUCCCUCCUAUCCCUUUUCCCUUUCUUCUUUUCCUCCU